ACCAUAAUGUAGAAUCAGUGGGAGCCCUGAGCUUGUUUUCCUCCAACUAGAUAGUCCCAUCUGGAGGUGAUAGGAAACAGUGACAAAUCAAUACAAAUCACCAAACAUUAGAUUCUCAUAAGGAGCAUGCCACCUAUUGUAUGCACAGUUCACAAUAGGGUUCAAGGGUUCAGGCUCCUAUGAGAAUCUAAUGCCUUUGCUGAUCUAACAGGAGGUGGAGCUCAGGUAGUAAUACCAACGAUGGGGAGUGGCUGUAAAUGCAGAUGAAGCUUCACUCACUGGCCUACUGCUCACCUCCUGCUGUGUGGCCUGGUUUCUAACAGGCCAUGAACCAGAGGUUGGGAACCCCUGUUCUAGAUGAUGACUUUAUCUUCCCCCAUAGAUACAAGAAAACAAAAUUCUCAAGGGAUAAUUCGCCAGGAGGAAAACAAAGAGAAAGUUAAACUCCUCUGCACAAGAAAAUAAAUAGACAUUUUGGAGUAAAGAAGAGCAGAGAAGAAAGAAGAUGAAGAAUGAUGAGAAGUUUUCUGUGUGGGAUCCUUGGGUGUUGAUGGAGGAGACCAGCCAUCAGGCAGGUGGUGACAGGCCUUCAACAUCUUGUUGGAGUGGUGUGGCAUGUUACCUCCUCAUCAUCCUGGAGGAUCCCACAUGGGCUUUUUUAUGCUUUUUCCCAUUAAAAUUUUAAAUGUACAUACCUUUGACUUAAUAAUGUUACUUCUAUAAAUCGAACCUGU
rnacentral:lncRNA from 1 species